AUGUCUUGGGAGUGCCAGUGGAAUUUGCACCGUGGUUGGUUUCCUCAAUACCUUGUGCGCCGGCUGGGAUGGAGGGAGAGCAGGCCAAAAACUGCAAGAAAUCCACAAUACCUUGUGAGCCUACUGGCAGGGAUGGAGGGAGAGCAGGCCAAAAA